rnacentral:rRNA from 1 species
GUCUGUAGCCAUGCCACACAUGCCUGAUCUUGUCUGAUCUCAGAAGCUAAGCAGGGUUGGGCCUGGUUAGUAUUUGCAUGGGAGACCACUUGGGAAAACCAGGUGCUGUAGAUC